rfam:Cupriavidus sp. SK-3 Scaffold153, whole genome shotgun sequence.
GCCCGCGAACUGCCUUGACGCCACCGGCAGGUGGCGUAGAAUUUACACGGUCGGGUGCCGCAAGGUUCCCGAUAAUGGUUGUGAACCUUCUUCUUGAAGGCCCUCUGGACGGCGGUUCGAUUCCGCCCAGGUCCACCAGAAGCACAUUGCACGGGUAGUGUGCUUCUGAUGGGCCUGACCUGGUUUCGACAGGGGGAGAUAGGGUCGUGAGGCAACUCGUCAGAGAAGACGUUAAAACUAAAUCGAAGUAAAUGCUAACGACGAAAAGUUCGCAUUGGCCGCUUAAUUGCCGCCUUGGGUUGUAACUGACCUCGAAACAGAAAAGUUACUGACAGGGGCUCCUUCGGGGGCCCUUGUUCA